UACGUAGGGGGCAAGCGUUGUCCGGAUUUAUUGGGCGUAAAGAGCGUGUAGGCGGCCUUACAGGUCAGCUGUGAAAACUCGAGGCUCAACCUCGAGACGUCGGUUGAAACCGUAAGGCUAGAGUCCGGAAGAGGAGAAUGGAAUUCCCGGUGUAGCGGUGAAAUGCGCAGAUAUCGGGAAGAACACCCGUGGCGAAGGCGGUUCUCUGGGACGGUACUGACGCUGAGACGCGAAAGCGUGGGGAGCGAACAGG
rnacentral:rRNA from 1 species